CAUAUCUUGUACACUUGUCAUUCAUUUCUCCUGCUCCUCCACGCGACGGUAACAGCCCCAUCUCCGACGACAUUGCACCACUGAUCUCCGACGACCAUGGUUCUGAAAAUUAGACCGACCCGACCUUGAACCGUGUUUCUCUACCGUUCGGAUUGAAUUGAGAAAUCGCUAGACAUAAAACCGUUUUGAAACCGCUGUAUCGAUUGGAUACCGGCCGGUUUUCAAUCACCUGCCUCAGACAUUGUCGUUUUGGCUUAUUAAAAAAAAAAAAACAGGAAUUGAAGCCUCGCACUCGCAGUCUCACACGAACCAUCAUCUGAGCACAUUGCUCUUCCCUCAUUUUGAGAAAGAAAAGAGGAGACAACCCUACCAUUCACCGCCGCCGCCGCCGCUCUUCUCACCGCCAUGGUCCCACCAUCGUGUGGUCGUCCUCCAUCGUCCCCUCUGCUGUAUUCUCCAACGCCUCUGUUCAUUCGCCAACUUCUUCGUGUCGCAUCGCUAGCUCCAGUUCGUCAGUUCGUCGCCCAUCGUCCGUGGUUGUCCGCCGGCGUUCUUGCUCAAUCUCGCUCAUACUCUACUCACUUCUCAGACCGAAGUUGAACCGGUUGGAUCAGUGAAUCAGUAAUUAAAGCGGUUCAAUGACUGGUCCAGUUUUCAGAACCUUGCCGACGACUCACCAACUCUGAGCUCCAUAGAAUUCGCAUUUUCCAUCACCAUACAGCCACCAUGGAUGUUGAUUCACAGCCAACUAUGGAAGAAACGAUUCUGGUGGGCGAUGACCUGAUGAUGGGUCCACCGUCACCUGUUGUGCCACCUGAAAUUGCAUCCCAUGUUCUCCGCGGUGUUGAUUUGUGUGAUGGAAUCCUUAAGAACCUGUUUUUAUGCUUGCAAAUCAAUGACAUUGAACCAUUCUGCCAGGAUGAGCUUGCUCUUUAUAAACAAUGUGCUGAAAGAAGGGACAAGGAGAUUAGGAAUCGUCUUCAAGAAAGUGACCGGAAAUUGGGUUCAUCAAUGCCUUUUGAAGAAGCCAAGGAGAGAGUUACCCAGCUUGAGAAAGAAGUUACGUCAUUGGAUAGGCACCUCAUUCUUGCUACUGGAGCUGAAGGCAUGGAAGGUUUUCGACAAAGAUGGAGUUUACAUGGCCGCCUAACUGAUACCAAGAAAAGGUUGGAGUCCUUAAAGCAGGGCAUAGAUAGCAGAAAAUGAGGAUGAGUCCAACAACAGAAAUUUGGUUCCUAGGUGAAGGUUGAACCUGCAUCAGGGGGGCACCUUGUUAUAUGCAUCCAUCCAAAUCGUUUAGAAAUAUGCGUCCGACUUAUUGAUGUCGAGAUGUUGCUUGUCUGAGUUCCUUGUAGAGGAGGAGGAUGGUAUCUGCAAGAGACUCUGAUGCUUAAGUUAGUAAAGGUUUUAGGCAGAUUUUUAGUAGAUUAGAAUGUAGAUUAUAUUUGAAGGAUGCCAGUGUAUUUAUAAUAGAGUUGAUGACCACUUUUUUUGGAAAAGUUCCAUCUUUAUUGAUGGAUAACUAUUCCCUUUAUCUUGGGAGUUUGUUGGAAACUAUCUUUUUUAGGGAAAAUAAAGAUUGUAGGAGAGAUUCGCGGAGACAAUUACUUGCUUGGACAAGUGGAGCUGGACUCCCUUGCGGUGUCCGACCUCUUCAAAGAGAUCGGGUAUGGAUGAAGAUCUCUUUCCAGGAUUGGUCUGUCAAUCCUUAUUGGGUCUGGCUUUAGUUGCUGGAUUAGGGUAUGAAUAAUAUUCCUGCUUGAGUCCUGAACUUUAUGUAGGUCGAGAUCAAGCAAUUCGUGGCUUCUGCUUAGACGUCAGGUACCCUGCCUUUCCACAGGUUGGAUACUCGAUGUGUUUUGAAAAUUUGAAUGUUGCCUCAUUAAAUGAGGGGCGAACGUUGCGCAGCAGUUUUUCUUGGGAUCCUGCAUGUUUUAAAGAGGAGUUUAGAGUCAUUAUGUCCAUUGUCUCCUAUAAAAGCGUUUUUGGCUCUUCUUCUUCUCCUUUCCCAACUGUUGAAAGCUUUUUCAUUUUCUUCUCUCUUUGCAAAAAAUCUUUCUUCUUCUGUUCUUGCCUUCUAGUUGCUCUCGAUUCCAAGAUUUCUUCAUCUUGGAUCUUUUAAAGAUUUUGCUUUAUGGAGAGGAAGGUUUGUGAUUUGUGGCUUUGAGGUGCCCCUCCUUCUUUGAAUUUUCAUCGAGGUUGGUGCUUCUAUUUAUGUUAUCAGUAGCUUUGUGUUCUAUUUGUGGCGUGGCUGUUUUGAAUGGCUUUCGAAUAGAAAUGCUAGCAAUGUGCUUCUUUGGGUGUGCUUCUUGGAUUUCGGCGGUAGUCUUACUUGUUUUCUUUGAGACUUUUUGUUGAUUAUUGUCAUUUAGUCUAAAAACUUCUUAGUUUGAAAACUUCUUUUGUAACCACUUUUGUUGAUUAGACUGCAACGGCUUUUUGUUGAUUGAAUCGCAGUCGGUUAUCUGGGACUUUUCUAAGUUUUUGUGGAACUAUUGUUACUGUAACUGUUUUGUUGUUUGUUGUCGUAUUGUUCCCAAUGGUAUUGCUGCUAUGUUGUUACUGAUAGCAUAGGAGGGACAUUGUUUUGGUGUUUAUUUGUAGAAAAAUUUCUGAAAAUGGCUCUUGUUGGUUUUACUUGUUUUUGACCGACUUCUUUUCGACGACGUCUGAGUUGUUGGAGUAACGAUUUCUUUAUUUUGCAUAUAUAGGUAUAGCUUAUAUGUCACGUGCUGUAGUUUUGAAUAUGUCGACUAAGAUUCCUCUUAGCUUUUUUACUUGGGUAGAUACUACCGUUCUUUUUUUGUGUCCCCGUAGUUGAUAAGGAAUACUGUGAUGUACUCUGUAGGCAUCAUAAAAUAUGUGAUAACAAGGAAGAUGAGAGGAAUUACGAGUUAGUAGUACCUGAUCCUAAAGAGAGAAUUUGUUUUCCUCCUUUGGACAAGUCGGAACGCCCAUUCUUUUAUGCCUAUGGUUGUUUUUCACCAAAUUAGGCAUUUCUCUCCCUUUUACCGACUUUGAAACGAAUAUCCUUUGGGCUUGUAAUGUGGCCCCUUUCCAGCUUCAUCCAAACUCCUGAGCCUUCUUAAAAAAUUUUCAGCUUCUAUGUCGGGAGCUUGAGGUCUGACCUUCUAGUAAGCUUUUCUUUUAUCUGUUUGUUUUGACCAAACUCGGGACGUUGAAAGGGAAGGCUUCUUGGUUUUUCUUCUGCACCAUCCAAGGUAAGGAAGUUUUUUCCAUUUUUGAUAAAUCCUUUCAUGACUUUAAAAAUCAUUUCUUUAAAAUUCAAGCCGUGGAGGGUGCCCGACCUUUCUUUUUGGAUGGGAAUGACGAGCUUUCCUUUCUCCUAUAUUGGCAAAAAGAACCUGUAGUUAGGGGUGGCAAGCAGGGAAGCCCGCCUCGCCUCACC